rnacentral:rRNA from 1 species
GAUGAACGCUGGCGGCGUGCCUAAUACAUGCAAGUCGAGCGAACGGAUGAGAAGCUUGCUCCUCUGAUGUUAGCGGCGGACGGGUGAGUAACACGUGGAUAACCUACCUAUAAGACUGGGAUAACUUCGGGAAACCGGAGCUAAUACCGGAUGAUAUAUUGAACCGCAUGGUUCAAUAGUGAAAGACGGUCUUGCUGUCACUUAUAGAUGGAUCCGCGCUGCAUUAGCUAGUUGGUAAGGUAACGGCUUACCAAGGCAACGAUGCGUAGCCGACCUGAGAGGGUGAUCGGCCACACUGGAACUGAGACACGGUCCAGACUCCUACGGGAGGCAGCAGUAGGGAAUCUUCCGCAAUGGGCGAAAGCCUGACGGAGCAACGCCGCGUGAGUGAUGAAGGUCUUCGGAUCGUAAAACUCUGUUAUUAGGGAAGAACAAAUGUGUAAGUAACUGUGCACGUCUUGACGGUACCUAAUCAGAAAGCCACGGCUAACUACGUG